UCCCUGGUGGCUCAGAGGUUAAAGUGUCUGCCUUCGAUGCAGGAGACCCAGGUUCGAUCCCUGGGUCGGGAA
rnacentral:tRNA from 1 species